GCCUAUGAUCAUACCACCCUGAAUGUACCCAAUCUUGUCUGAUUUUGGAAGCUAAGCAGGGGUGGUCCUGGUUAGUAUUGGGAUGAGAGCCAAUGACAUCUGGGUCUCCUAAUGA
rnacentral:rRNA from 1 species